UACUACUGAUUUUCUUAGUCUAAUCUAAAACAAGGUAAAUAUCAGGUUGUUUCCUGUAUUAGAUCGAAACAUCUGUAUAUACCUUUGAUCCGGUUGGACAAAAGUGCAUCUUCUAGUG
rnacentral:pre_miRNA from 1 species